UGUUAGACUGACUGCAUCAAGGCUUCAAUGACCUGAUGGACUGAGUCAAGAGUCCAAGGUGUGAUCUGUCCAGAUGCAGCCACUGUGACGGACGAUGGCACCUGGAAAACCAACAAUUGGGAGAAACCUAAAUCAAGAAGAUGCCCAUUGGUCUGGUGGCCUGAGAUUCCUGCGAAGGGCGGAAGAGGGGAAACACAGUCCCCCAGUGGGCAUGCUUGUCCGUUACGUAACAACCUGGGCUCCAGCAGCAAAUCGAGCUCAAAGGGCAAGACGGAGAGAGGCUGCAGGAGAAGCAGAAGCUCAUGAAACAAAGGCUGACAUCGACCCAGCGACAUGGACAGGAAGCCCCAACCGUGGUAGUGUGAAGUCACCACAUCUGUGCAGACAGGGAGACACGCUUGAGCAAAAACUGUAUGUUUGAAUUUUUGACACCCAAGUACAGUGGAAAGAUGAGAAAACACACACGGGUUCGAGAGUACAAAAAUAAAAUUGUGGUAGAUGACAAUAGCGGUUAGCCUCUCUUGUUUCGGCUAUUCCAAUCGCUC